UACGAAGGGGGCUAGCGUUGUUCGGAAUUACUGGGCGUAAAGCGCACGUAGGCGGGUUGUUAAGUCAGGGGUGAAAUCCUGGAGCUCAACUCCAGAACUGCCUUUGAUACUGGCAACCUAGAGACUGGAAGAGGUUAGUGGAAUUCCCAGUGUAGCGGUGAAAUGCGUAGAUAUUGGGAGGAACACCGGUGGCGAAGGCGGCCCUCUGGACCGGUACUGACGCUGAUGCGCGAAAGCGUGGGGAGCAAACGGG
rnacentral:rRNA from 1 species